rnacentral:rRNA from 1 species
CAGUCGCCGCGGUAAGACGAACCGUGCGAACGUUAUUCGGAAUUACUGGGCGUAAGGCGCACGUAGGCGGCUUGGUAAGUUAGAGGUGAAAGCCCGGAGCUCAACUCCGGAAUUGCCUUUAAGACUGCCGAGCUAGUAGGUGAGAGAGGUAAGUGGAAUUCCGAGUGUAGAGGUGAAAUUCGUAGAUAUUCGGAAGAACACCAGUGGCGAAGGCGGCUUACUGGCUCAUUCUAGACGCUGAGGUGCGAAAGCGUGGGGAGCAAACAGGAUUAGAUACCCCAGUAGUCCCUGUCUCUUAUAC